rnacentral:rRNA from 1 species
AGAGUUUGAUCCUGGCUCAGGACGAACGCUUGCGACGUGCCUAAGAAAUGCAAGUCGAACGAGGUAGCAAUACCUAGUGGCGAACGGUCGCGUAACACGUGGGCAACCUGCCCCAAAGUGGGGGAUAACAGCCUAAAAGGGCUGCUAAUACCGCAUGUGAACCCUUAUGGCAUCAUGGGGUGUUCAAAGCAGCAAUGCGCUUUGGGAUGGGCCCGCGGCCUAUCAGCUAGUUGGUGAGGUAACGGCUCACCAAGGCUUCGACGGGUAGCUGGUCUGAGAGGACGAUCAGCCGGAUUGGGACUGAGAUACGGCCCAGACUCCUGCGGGGGGCAGCAAUUAGGAAUCUUGCGCAAUGGGCGAAAGCCUGACGCAGCGACGUCGCGUGGGGGAUGAAAUCUUUCGGGAUGUAAACCUCUUUUCUCGGGGAAGAAAAAAAUGACGGUACCCGAGGAAUAAGCCCCGGCUAACUACGUGCCAGCAGCCGCGGUAAUACGUAGGGGGCGAGCGUUGUCCGAAGUUACUGGGCGUAAAGCGCGCGUAGGCGGGUUGUUAAGUGAGGGGUGAAAGGUUCGGGCUCAACCCGGACACUGCCUUUCAUACUGGCGACCUUGAGUUUGGGAGAGGCGAGUGGAAUGGUCGGUGUAGCGGUGAAAUGCGUAGAUAUCGAUCGGAACACCCAUGGCGAAGGCAGCUCGCUGGCCUAAGACUGACGCUGAGGCGCGAAAGCGUGGGGAGCAAACAGGAUUAGAUACCCCAGUAGUCC